rnacentral:rRNA from 1 species
GCCCUUAGAGUUUGAUCAUGGCUCAGGACGAACGCUGGCGGCGUGCCUAACACAUGCAAGUCGCACGACGAGCGCCGCGACGCUGCUGAUCUGACCCUCCGAAGUCUCACGACCUUUGGUCGUGAGACGGACGAGGCGACGUGACGCAGCCGACCGGAUUCACACUCGGAGUGGCGGACGGGUGAGUAACGCGUGACUAACCAACCUCAAGGUGGGGAAUAACCAUGCGAAAGCGUGGCUAAUUCUCCAUGUUGGUCACGAAGCGAUAGGCUUCGUGAUGAAAGGCCCUUCGGGGUCGCCUUGAGACGGGGUCGCGUCCCAUUAGCUAGCUGGUGAGGUAAAGGCUCACCAGGGCAAUGAUGGGUAGCUGGUCUUAGAGGACGAUCAGCCACACUGGGACUGAGACACGGCCCAGACUCCUACGGGAGGCUGCAGUGGGGAAUCUUGCACAAUGAGCGAAAGCUUGAUGCAGCGACGCCGCGUGGGGGAUGACGGCCUUCGGGUUGUAAACCCCUAUUCACCGGGAGGAAUAAGGACAUCAGGCAAUGGGUGUACGAUAACGUUACC